rnacentral:tRNA from 1 species
GAGUAUGUAGCUCAGUGGUAGAGUGCAUGCUUCUGCAUAAGGUCCUGGGUUCAAUCCCCAGUACCUCCG